CCUCCUUUUUUCUCUCUCUCCCCACGAUGGAAAGUAUUCCAUCCGUCCAUCUCUCUCUCCCCAUGGAAAACCAAAUAUCUAGCCCACGGUCCCUUCCUCUCCACUCUUUCCUCUCACGAAUCUCUCUACCCUAGAAACCAAACUAAUGCAAAGCAAGCGCGGCCAUGGAUCUGAACAACAAGCGGGGCCAUAAAUCUGGCGUGGUCAAGAGGCUUACUGCCUCAAAUUUGCUUUCCUGAUCUAGAUCAGGUUGUUCUCAGAUUCCUCCUAAUCACGAUUUGGAUCAAACCCUCAAUCUUUUAAAGUACAAUUUCUGGAUGCCUUACGGAGAUCGGAUCGGAGCACAACUAUGACCAUCAGGUGUACCUAUAAUUAAUAUCUCUUGACUAUAUACGAUUACCUCGGGAGUCACAAGUCGUCUAACGUCCUAGCCAGGUUUCCCCGGCCACAUAUCUCCGUCGCACAAGAGAUGUUGGAGAAGCGGGAGUAACCCAUCGCCUGUAGCUCAGUACGCGUGGCAUUCAAGAAGCUGCUUCGAUCGCAGACUACAUGAUCAGAUCCAUGUCGUAGCAUAUAUAUACACCAUGUACGUCAUGGAUGCAUGCAUAAAAGCGAGCUAGGAUGUCAGACAGAUGGGGUGAAACAUAAAUUGAUUUGCAAACAGGGGAAAGAGAGACCAAAGUAAAGAUUUCACAGCUCCUAUGGAGAUGAGGUGCCAAUUUGCUGUAUGAGAAAGCAUAAUCUGGAGGAAUAUCAAUUGUAGCACUAAAUUUUAAUAUGCACUGAACACCGAGCAUAACUCUCUGGUUGAAGAAUGAAGAUGCAUGCUCUUACCUUAUUUCCUUGGAAUAAUGAUGUACAAUGCUUCCAUUUGAUUUUGAUUUGGCGCAAACAUAUAUACACAACAAUAAGUUAAUAGCAAAUCCAUAUGCCAUGACAUAGACUUUAUGUUUGUAGAUCCUCUAUGUUAGGAGCUCCUUCUAAUUAAAAAGUUGUUGAAGGAAAGCCAACAGAUCAGUAACUUCUAGAUUUUUUUUGAUUCCAGGUUAAAUCUAAUAAGAGACAUCACCAGCUAAAAAUCUAACAACUCAUCCACUUAGUUAUAACGCUAUCCUAACUGUUAAGAGAAAUAAUAACUAAAGAAGAUGCAGAUUCUCAUUCGGAUGGAGCUCUACAAACAGCUGGUACAUGACAAUGUUUGUGUGCUGGAAUGAGAAACUGACACACUGCCAAAGGUACGGUCUCUGAUGUUAUAGAAGCUAUGAUUUGUGAUGCUAAUCUUGCAUGUUCAGAACUGCUACGAUCGAAUUUGCUCAAAUUAUUCUUUGGUGUAUUAAUAACAUGCCCUUUUGUAGUUUGUAUUUGCUGACAUAUAUAAAUUUUCAUUUCGGGCAUUCGUUACAAUACUUCAAUUAUGUGUUCUUGAGCGAGGAUUAAUACAUUAAUACUGAGGGAGCCCUCUAUCCGGUGAUUUUGUCGUAGACCUCUGCUUUAAUACUUCUUAAUAUGGUGAUGAAAUUCCGAAGAACAAUUCUUAUGCGUAUGGUAUCACCUGUACCUUUAUCUUUAGGUGUUGUAAAAUGCUAGGCCGUGCAGAUGGACGGGUUGACGACUAUCAUCUAUGAUGCUUAUGUUCUUCAGAUCGAUCUAUCUGGUAAUAGUCGCGGGUUGGCUGGCCAGCGUUGACACCAACCAGAGGAUGCAUUGGCGCACAAUGUUCUUAUUGCUACACUUCAUGAGUGCAGUAAUGUGGUUAGGUCUAUCAGAGAAGUGCCCAGUUCAUGCCGAUGAGCGAUGAUUGUCAAUGGAGCUUACAUGUGGUUGCGGAAGCAUAAAAAGCAUGGUGAUAAGAAAGGAUUGAUCAGCGUAAGUUUGUACUGUCUGGCACGUUUGUGCAAGAAGCAAGUAAUUGCUACAGUACCAUUUAGGUUGCUCUGGGAGGACUUCUUCGCGCUACAAGGAUUAAAGCACCUUUGAUUCAUGAGGACGCACCAAACGAGGCUGGCUAGACUAAGCUUGCUACUAGAUCUACCGGACAGAAGAACAGAACACAUGCCCGCGAUUGCCCAAGUCCGGAAGGGACAAGGCCGCUAAGUAAUACUCCUUCCAUCCCAAAAUAAGUGACUCAACUUUGUACCAGCUUUAGUAUAAAGUUAGUACAAAGUUGAGUCACUUAUUUUGAGACGGAGGGAGUAUAUAUCCCAGUUAGCAUCAACAAUUAAUUUCCUGUGCUUCCUGAUGUUAUUUAGUAACUGGACUUAGGAAUGUGAGAAACGUCAUUGUGUGAUAUGACUUGCUGGAGCAAGAUUAAAUUGCUGGACCAAGGUCUACAUCUAUAUUCCCUUAUGUUUUUCACUUA